UACGGAGGGUGCGAGCGUUAAUCGGAAUCACUGGGCGUAAAGCGCACGUAGGCGGAUUGUUAAGUCAGGGGUGAAAUCCUGGAGCUCAACUCCAGAACUGCCUUUGAUACUGGCGAUCUUGAGUCCGGGAGAGGUGAGUGGAACUGCGAGUGUAGAGGUGAAAUUCGUAGAUAUUCGGAAGAACACCAGUGGCGAAGGCGGCUCACUGGCCCGGUACUGACGCUGAUGUGCGAAAGCGUGGGGAGCAAACAGG
rnacentral:rRNA from 1 species